rnacentral:rRNA from 1 species
GACGAACGCUGGAGGCGUGCUUAACACAUGCAAGUCGAACGAUGAAAUGGAGCUUGCUCCAUGGAUUAGUGGCGAACGGGUGAGUAACACGUGAAUAACCUGCCCUUAAUUUUGGAAUAACCCAGGGAAACCUGGGCUAAUACCGGAUAAGUAAACCUGUGGCAUCACAUGGUUUUGGAAAGUUUUUCGAUUAAGGAUGGAUUCGCGGCCUAUCAGCUUGUUGGUGAGGUAAUGGCUCACCAAGGCGACGACGGGUAGCCGGCCUGAGAGGGUGAACGGCCACACUGGGACUGAGACACGGCCCAGACUCCUACGGGAGGCAGCAGUGGGGAAUAUUGCGCAAUGGACGAAAGUCUGACGCAGCGACGCCUCGUGAGGGACGAAGGUCUUCGGAUUCUAAACCUCUUUCAGCAGGGACGAAGCGAAAGUGACGGUACCUGUAGAAGAAGCACCGGCUAACUAUGUGCCAGCAGCCGCCGCCG